AAAUUGUUUAACAUAAUUACAAUUGAUACACAUUAUAAUUUGGCUCAAUCCAAAAUACAGUCAUAUAUAAUUUGGCUAUGGUUGCACUAGUGGUGAACCUGCUGACCAUAUUGCUUUAUAUGGACGUAAUUGAUACACAUUAAUGCUCAACUAACAUGGAAUUUUCAACAUUGAUUGAUUACAAACAAGAAAAGAAAGGAAAACACAGAAGAAUAAGAUGAAAACAAAGAAGAAUAAGAUGAAAUAUUACCUGCGAGAGGGAGACCGGCGGGCGGUGGCUGCUGCUUUAGGGCGUGAGCGGUGGCUGCUGCAGUGCUGCUUGCGCCGGGCGGUGGCUGCUACUUUAGGUAUUACUUAUUAGGGUUUCUCUAGACUUAGACUUGAGAGUAGAGAGUAGAGACAGAAAUGAGAACAUACGGGUUUGUAAAUUGUAACUUUGUUU
rnacentral:lncRNA from 1 species